AUUGAUUUCAAUACAUUAUUUAAAUUUAAAUUUGACUUCAUGGGCAUGGGUAGGCUCAUUCCUGUUUAUUACAGGUGGAGUGAAACAGGAAUCAAGAUAAGAUUCACCACCAGUGGAAUCCAAUACAUAGGGGAUACAAGAAGAGAUAAACGAGAUUUACGCCAUUAUACUUAUACGUACAUAAUAGCUAAAAUUAACACACAUGUACAAGAACAUUUUUUGUCAUUCACUAU
rnacentral:lncRNA from 1 species